rnacentral:tRNA from 2 species
AGCCCCGUCGUCUAGUGGCCAAGGAUAUGGGCCUUUGGAGCCUGUGACGGCAGUUCGAAUCUGCCCGGGGCUA